CAUGGGACCAUCUUCAUGUCGGUCGACCUACUAGCGUUGGAGCUAUUGCCGACAUGGCUGAUUGCCCUUUGGGUUGCCGGUGGACGAACGCCGGCGGGUUACGUUUUAGGGCAAAUGUUAGGACGACAAAUAUUGAGUUCUAUAGAGAUGAGUUAGAUCAGCAGCGAGCGUCUCAGGUACGUAUUAAUGCAACAAUUUUUUUCAAUAUACAACCGUAUUAAUGCAUUUAGCUGACUAUUAUUGGCUUUUUCACAGAUUACAUGGCGGCCGUACACAGAUGCUAUUAUAGAUGUGCUAUCGACAUUCUAUGUACAGGGCAGCGAGGUACGACGAUCGAGGAUGACACUGAUUUGCUUUCAUAUUGUUGAGCUUCACGUGCCCAAUUGAGUCCUACGGCAGUUUGGUCUCCUCCAGCAUAUACCAAUUCACGUGGAGACUAUCCGUCGCAUCACAUCUCAGGAGCGGCCAGAUGAGGAUUGGGUCCACUUUCAUGCUGCACACAUCAAGAGAUAGGGACAGAGAUUACAGGCUAUUAUUGACCAGCAUCCGAUUGUCGGUGAUGACCCGGUACAGGCGACAUCUAUUUAUAUGGAGUGGUAUUGGCAGAUCACGAGAAGAUGGAUUUUUCGUCCAGUACAGCGUCCACCAUUGACUUACCAGCCUCGCGGCCAGACCGAGAGAGCUUUCGUACGAUCACUCAUAUGUUAAUUUUUUUUUAAUCUUAUAUUUAAUUUAAAUUGCAAAUAGUGAGUUCUUAUCUAUAAUGCAGGUCGAUGUAUUACGACAGACUCAAAUGGGCAUCACAGGACUAGUUCAUGAUCGGCCUUCUUACGAUGCGAUGAUGGAGACAUUGAUGAGCAUAGAUGUCCAUAUUGAGUCACUACUGGAGUACAUUCCUUCCAUACCUGUCGCCGCUGAUGUUGGAGGUCGAGAUUUUGGUCAACCCUCGACAUCGGGUCAUCACAGGAGACACUCACCGACAUCGACUGGAUCAUACUCGAGAUCGAGCCUACGAGUGUCACGAUCUCCAUCUCCUAGUGAUGUUGCAGAUAUGCUCACCGCCCCUUCAAGAUUUCCUACCUUGCCAUUGGAUUUGGACUCGCUUCCGCCGCCAGUCUCUCGAGAGCACUUUAGAUUAGUGUACUCUCGACGUCAUGCCGCGUCAUCAUCAUAGGCCCCCCCAGCAUCUACACCGGCCACUAUCGAGGGUGAUCGACUUGAGCCAGAGGAGACUUAGGCGAUUCCGGAGCAUCCCGAGGGCAUUAUCAUUGCGGAUCUCGAUCAGAUGGUCGGUAUCGAGGCACUUGAUGACGUACCUAUUGCUGAGCUCGAUGUACAGGGUGGCCGUAGACGUGGCCGUGGCCGAGGACGUCGAUGGAGAGGAAGAUCGAGAGACUGAUUGUAUAUUUUUGAUUUAGAGAGCAUACUUUGUAUAAUAUUAUAAAUACUUUAUUUAGUUCAAUUUGUAUAUUUGUCUGUGUUUUGUUUGAUAUUUUUAUCCGGUUGAUUGUAUUUUGUUAUUCCACUUGUGAUGUUGUGUUUUUUGUUGGAAUAUUUGUUAUCGUGAAAAUACUUGCCUCAAACUUGUUCAAAUUGAUUUUAAAAUCGAGCUGAAAAAUAUCACCUGCUGCUGUUUGCACUAAAGGCGGUGAACCAUUCACCGCCUUUAGUGCAAAUCCCCCACAGCCGCAAAAAAAUUGGCUAAGUCCUGAACUGGGGGCUGUUUGCACUAAAGACGGUGAAUGGUUCACUGCCUUUAGUGCAGCCAUGAUAAGACGGUGAACCAUUCACCGUCUUAUCUGUACUUUAGCUCGGAUUCGAGUACUUAGCUAAAUUAGGCUGGGUGGGAGUUUUACUCUAAAGACGGUGAACGAUUUACCGUCUUAUGUAGGUGCUGGCUCGAGCACCAAGGGCAUUGUGAAGGCACGCGGCAAGGGCAUUAAGAAGGCGGUGAAUGGUUCACGUUUAAAGAAGGUGGUAAACCAUUCACCGUCUUCUCGAGAGUAUUAUAGAAGGCGGUGAACCAUUUACCGUAUUCAUGAGUCAUAUGCAAAGACGGUGAAAGAUUCACCGUCUUUGCGAGAAAAAUCUGAGGUGGCACCGACGUGGCGAAAGGAGGAUUAAUUUUACAAAUAAAAUUUUCAGAGGGUCAUUUUGCCAAUUACAAAAUUCUACAGGAUCAUUUUCAAAAAAAGCCCGUAAAUAGAGAACAUGCUUUGUCAAAUCAGUCUACAGUGUAUAGUUCUGUUUUUUUUUCUUUUCUUCUCUUCUCUUUCCUUUUUGCUGUAAAUGCUGAAUUGUUCUGCAAAUAAAUUUGACAGAUGGUCUUUGAAUCCUUUUCAGAUUAUUUAUGGCCUUUUUGAAUAUAUGAUUAUCUCGCUCACACCAUCCUUUUUUUAUCCUUUUUUGUUUGCGCAAGAAACAAGUGUUGAUUUGUGGACGUGAGAAAAUGUUUAUUAUUAGGAAUACAUUAUAAGAAAAAUCAUGAUGAUAAGACCUCGCACUUUGGCGGCCAAAGGUUUAUUUGUUUCUUGGAAGCUGAAGUUCGGGUUGAAGCAGAUUCUCGGAUGAAUUGCUUUUCUUUCGUUAUUGGUUUCUAUAGUUAUGGAAUUGACGUUCCUUCAAAUUUGCUAUUUAUUUGGUAAAAAGUGAAUGACAUGAAAGCUAAAGUUUUA